CCAGAUGCCCUUAUUAUACAGACCGAUCUGCACACAAGCGUCUCUCCUGCAUUGAAACCUACCACGAGUGCUUCCCAUACAGUGUGAAGGAGCAAGAGAAGUUAAUAGAUUACUGGAAAAUGAUGAGCGGCUCAGUAGAGAGGAGCAGGCUGCUCAAUGGAAAGACCCUCUUUUAGAGUGUGGACAGACAGUUCAUGUCUACAACGUGCUGUGCCCCUGAGCAAACUGGUUUAUUGGCUGACCCUUCAAGGGGGCUGUGUUAAUUUAUUAGUGACAGAGCAGCAUGACCAUGGAACCAGCUUGGAAUGGAGCUGUGAGCCCGUGUGGUCCAGGUGAUAUCCAUUUCUGACUUUAGGCAUCUGGAGAACACAAAACUGUUUCCACGCUUGGAGAAAAUGUGAUGUGUGAGUGCCAGUGCUCCUACAAGCAGUCAAGCUGGACAUAUUCCAUCCCCUGGCGGCUUUUCUGGGAGUAUGGGGUGGAUGGAGUGGCUGAUGUCCUGAUACUUCUCCCAUCUAUGAGAGACACACGUGCUGCCUCUUGAGGUACAAUGUGUGCACAAUGUCUGCAAGGGAAGUGUUUGUCUCCUCCUUUUGUGGUCUGAAACCUGAUCAAAUAUUUUUAUGUCGUUUUUCACAAA